rnacentral:sRNA from 1 species
AAGGACGGUCUCAUCAUCCCGAGACUUGAGUGAGGGUCUCCCUGCUCUGGGGGUCUUUCAAAGCCAAAAUCUUGGGUCUCUUGGAUGUCAUGAUGAAGGUAACAACUAUGAGCAUUCGUUACCCAAGACAUCAGAUGGGAAGAGACUCAGUGGCACUGGACAAUAACCAGGCAAAUCAGGUGGCUCCAGAAAUGGUUAUGCAAAGGACCAUCCCAGUUUUGGGCCAGCAAGACACACCUGCUGGGAACCAGAAUUAGACUAAAGGAUGGGCUCAUUUAGAAUAUACAGCAGAAGAAAGGGCCCAAAUUGCUUAGAAGAGGAAGGGCAGUGGCACACUCAAGGGUAAAGCUAUACUCCCCAGCGAAUAAACAAAAGACUCACUUUCCCAAAUGUACAAAUGGACUCAUUUAGCCCUCACCUGCAUAAAGACAACAAUUCACAGACACCCUAAGGUUGAUUGGGAACAAUUUAAGGAUAGAGUGGUGACUACUUGUUUUAGCCCCUUGGCAGUUAGGAGAUGUACAUUGCAAAUAUAUUUCACCAAUCACUUCUUUUAUUUUUUUUUUUUCUUUUCCUUUUUGGGAGCUGGGGACUGAACCCAGGGCAUUGUGCUUGCUAGGCAAGCGCUCUACCACUGAGCUAAAUCCCCAACCCUUACCAAUCAUUUCUUAACUACACCAAUACUCUGAAAGAGCGGGCCAUUCUUCAAGGACAGAAUCCUAAGUGGAAGGCUUCAGAGGAUGCAAAAGAUAGAAAAAGUAGGAGAUAGAAAGUAUGAAAGCUGGGGUGGGGUAGCAAGGAGCUAAGGCUUCUGCUAAGGAAGCUUCUUAAGAACAGCAGCAUUUAUACUACCUACAAGGAAAAUGGAAAGAAAUGGGAGACUUCCAUGAAGUCAGCAGAAUCAACCAUACAAUGGCCAAAUUAAGGAGGGAUCUGAUCAAACAAUGUUGCUCACUGAGUACAGGGCCAUCUCAUUAACAUUAAAGACCAUGCCUCCACUACUUUGGAACUCAUGUCUUCAGCCCCAUGUGGUAGCAAUUUUUGGAAUCUCAGCAUCAGAGACAACCCGUCUCCAAAGGACCUGGCCCCAGACCAUUAACAGAUCUCAAAAGCAUAUGCCUGAUUUUAGAGAAGAAGCUCUGCUUUUUUAAUACAUACCUCAAGGCCUUAGGGAAAGGCCCCAGGUCCUAGGCCCCAGGCCCUUACAGGCUCUAAGAUGUGGCUGAGUUUGAGAAGGA